GAGGGGGUAAAGGGUGUCCUGCUGGUCUAGUGGGUCCACCAACUCAGUCCAAGUCUUCUCCACACAUCUCUCAUCCUCCGGAGAACUGCCUCAAGAGAGGACUAUCAAACACUCUCCAGAUUGUUGAGACCUAACUUCAUGAAGUACAUACUGAAGAACAAGGAAGACAUGGCAGGGUCAAGGGCAGCAUCCCUGGACCAGCCCCAUCCUCCUCACAGCAACCUUGCAAGGAAACCUGUCUUAUUCCCAAGAUAAUAAGCAUCCUUAAAAAAAAAGUAUGCAAGGAUA